ensembl:lncRNA
GGUAGCUAGCUGUGUUUUAAUGCUAGGGUAGCUGGAUGUGUUUUAAUGCUAGGGUAGCUGGAUGUGUUUUUUUAUGGUAGGGUAGUUAGAUGUGUUUUAAUGCUAGGGUAGCUGGAUGUGUUUUAAUGCUAGGGUAGCUGGAUGUGUUUUAAUGCUAGGGUAGCUAGAUGUGUGUUUUAAUGCUAGGGUAGCUAGAUGUGUGUUUUAAUGCUAGGGUAGCUAGAUGUGUUUUUUUAUGGUAGGGUAGCUAGAUGUGUUUUUUUAUGGUAGGGUAGCUAGAUGUCUUUUUUUAUGGUAGGGUAGCUAGAUGUGGUUUUUAUGGUAGGGUAGCUAGAUGUGGGUUUUUAUGGUAGGGUAGCUAGAUGUGGGUUUUUAUGGUAGGGUAGCUAGAUGUGGUUUUAAUGCUAGGGUAGUUAGAUGUGGUUUUAAUGCUAGGGGAGAUUGAUGUGGUUUUAAUGCUAGGGGAGAUAGAUGUGGUUUUUAUGGUAGGGUAGCUAGAUGUGGUUUUUAUGGUAGGGUAGCUAGAUGUGGUUUUUAUGGUAGGGUAGCUAGAUGUGGUUUUUUAUGGUAGGGUAGCUAGAUGUGGUUUUUAUGGUAGGGUAGCUAGAUGUGGUUUUUUAUGGUAGGGUAGCUAGAUGUGGUUUUUUAUGGUAGGGUAGCUAGAUGUGGUUUCUCUCUACUCAAUGUCUUGGUAAGUCACGGUGUUUAACAAACCUGAAAGUACUUUUUUAGGAGAGACUGGUCUGCCGUCAGACAGGCUUCGUACAGCCGCCCGAGAUGAUUUGUUUGACCGUUCCGGUGACCUAGUGAUGGACGUUAGUCCUGCUUCAGAAGCCUCAUUCCUGUACAGAGUAGUAAAAUGCCUGUUCGUAUCUCCAGAGAAGGAUGUGUGUCUGCAUUUAAACAGCCGUAGUGUAGCCUACCUAGACAAACACACGCCGUAGCGCUUUCAAGGGGUCACAUUCCAUUACGUCUGAAAGGGGUAAUCAAUACAGGCUACCGGUAGCCUACUGUCAUUUCAUAUUAUUAGACAAAAACACCCCCAGCCAAUCGGCAACAAAGAGUACCCCAUGCUCACAAGACUGGCCCAAAGGCCAGUGUGAAGGAGAGGGAUGAGGGGCAGGUAGAACCGUGCACAUGGGGCCUGUCUUGGUAAUAUGCAUCUCGCAAUGUCUUGUCUUGCAAUUCAACUCUGAAAUUCACCACAGUAGCCUAAAGUUGGCUUCUUCCUCUCUGGUUUAAUUUAAACGACACAGCUUUCCCAGGCCUUUAUAGCCUGUCGUCUUGUUACGCUAUGACACCAAACAUCAUGUUCUGUGAUAACUGCACUGGGAUUUCAAUUAUGUGGGAUGGAAAAAACACAAGGAUUUUUUAAUUAUCAUUAAGGUUCCCGACGUUGUUUUAAACAUUCACACCCCUAACACACACGUAGGCAUUUACAGCUAAUAUUACAGACCCAUACGACCGCCCAGGGGGGACUGCACAAGCUAAACUACCUGUGUGUGUGUGUGUGUGUGUGUGUAUGAGUGUGGCAGUGUCAGUAUGAUGCAGGUGAACAUGCUUUGCUACACCUAUACAAGGAGAAACAUAUGCACACCAUCUUCCCUUCAUCCUUCUUCCUCCCUCCUCCUCGCUCUCUGUCUGGGUGUAAUGUUCUCUAACCGUAGCUGUCUGACUAAUGUUUU